rnacentral:lncRNA from 1 species
GGAUAAAAGGAAAGAUAGCUUUUUUGAGGAAGCCUGCAAUCUGGGGAGUAGGUGGACUCUAAGUCCCAAAAAACAAUUCCCCAAUCCCCAGAUUUCACUCAGGGAUUAUAUAGGAAAAGAAGAAAGAGGUACACAAAUGCUAAGGAGGGGUAAACUUCUAUCUUCAGAGGUGAUUGUCUCCAUGACACAGUUCCAAGCAGCUGUCUUGUCUCUGUUGUGAUUGAAACAUUAAUGAGCUGUUAAUCUCUGGUCAGCUACUAGUUAUUCUGGUUUCAACUAGUCUGGGGUCUCCGUGCUUGUGGUCAGCACUACAGUUGACUUCUUUCACCUGGUGGGGGUUUCAGUAUCUGCAAAACACUCAAAGAAUAUGGCUGAAAAUAUUAUCUAUAGCCUUUGCGGAGAAACAAAGGUCCUUGACUUUGUUUAAUGGUUAAAUUUAUCUUGCUUGACUGUUUUCCUUUGCUUCUGCAUUUUCUCACUUUUCUAAUUAAAUUCAUCCUUUGGAAUCAGGGAGGGGCCAGGAGGCGAAAGUUUUUCUGUAAAUAAGAAGCACAGGUGGAUGAAAUGGAGUGGAGGGGUCUGUCCAAGGAAGGCUCCAUAGGGUCCUGCUUCCUUACACCAUUACGAAUCUCUUAUACUUGGUCACCUGCUAACUGCUCUUUGAAAAACUUAUGUUUGUUUCCCAUAAAGUUGAUGCAAAUAUUUAAUAUAUUUCAGUGUAAGUGUCUUCAAGAGACAAUUUAAACCAUUAACAUGCUAGAUUGUAAUAUUUUUCUCAAGGAGUAACUUCCCCUAGCCUCCUGACUAGUUUAGAUUUCAAAUACUAAAGCUUAAUUUCCACUUUUAUUAUCACAAAGGAUGAAUAAUGAGUGACUAUGAUUAUCUGACUUUAUCUAUUGCUGUAGCUUAAGACAGAUGAAUUUUGAAAUUUUUGUCAUUUAGCUGUAUGUCAUGGAACAUGCUUUUUUGAUAUUUAAAAUUCAUUUCUAAGGUUAACAAUUAGUACAAACAUAUUCCAGCCUGUUACUAUGUCUGUUUAGACCUCUUUAGCCAUGGAGAUCUUUAUAUGCUUCCCACUUCAAUCCUUUUCUUUCUUUUUUUUCCAACAGUAAAACAUGCACUCACUCACUUGCAUUCAAUUACCAUUGUAAUGAAAUAAUCCUCAGAGUUCCCUACCUGUGUGCGACUAAAGCAUAAGGAAAUUAUUAUUGUCCUGGCUCCUUUUUUUUUCAUGAUGUGGUCCCUUCUUGAUCAUGCCUAUGUUCCUUUAGUUUUUACUUUCAAUGUAGAAUCUGUGUAUUUGUCAGUCAAAUUAUACAAUGAGUUACUGUAGGGCUCUGAAAGUAUCCAUUUAAUAGGGAAAAUUAGUGCAAUGUAUAAAACUUUACAAAAAUUUAGUUUGCUGCUUUUUUUUUGACACCAUAGUUGAUUUGCUUUACAACAUAGGUUGAAGUUGAAAUUUUGCAUUUCUGAUUCCUUUUCCCUCCUCUUUCACUGAGAUAUAAUUGACCUAUAACAGUGCAUUGGUUGGUGGUGUACAACCAUUAUGAUUUUAUAUACGUAUAUAUUGCAAAAUGAUUACAACAAUGACUGCAGUCAACAUCCCUCACCUCACAUAGUUAUAAUUUUUUCUUUUGAUUAGAAUUUUUUAGACCUACUCUCUUAGCAACUUUAAAAUACACGAUAGAAUAUUGGCUUUUUAAAUUAUUUUUAAUCAUUUUUAUUGAAGUAUAAUUAACAUAGCAUUACAGUAGUUUUCUGUACAGAACGUAAUAAUUUGGCAUUUGUGUAUAUUGCAAAAUAAUCACCAUAGUCGGGUCCAUCCAUCCAUAUACAUAAACAUUUUUUUUCUUAUGAUGAGGAUUUUAGUAUUAUUAACUACAAUCAUUAUGCUAUACAGUACACCCCCAGAACCUAUUUAGCUUAUAAAUGGAAGGUCCGUACCUUUUGGCCACCUUUACCCAUUUCACUCAACUCUCUAUCUCUAGCAAUCACCAAUCUAUUCCAUCUUUUGAUUUCUUAAAAUUCUACAUUAAGUGAGAUACUGCAGUAUUUGUCUUUGGUAUUUUCACUUAGCAUAUAAUGUCCUUGAGUCCAUUUGUCUCAACUUGCAAGACUUUAUUUUUAAUGACUGAAUUAUUCCACAUUUUCUUUAUUUAUCUACCAAUUGAUAUGUAGAUUGUUUCCAUGUCUUGGCUAUUGUACACAGUGCUGCAGUGAACAUGGGAGUGGACGUGUGUUAAAUUAGAAACCUGACCCUCAAGCCCCAUCUUUUAAGAUAUGCAAAUAAGCCUCUUUCAGGGAACCUUUAGGAAGUUGUGUGCUUUCUCUUCUGAGCCCUGAUGAGUGUGGUUGGGCGCGGGGAGAUACUGCUGGUGGUACUCGGUUAACUAUUUCUGUGGGAUGCAUGAACACAAACCCUGCUGGCCUCCAGACGCAGGUGAGGGAUAUGUCUCCUGCAUUAUAGCCGCAAAAGCCAGAGCACUGUGUAUGUGCACAAGCUCUUUCCAGGGAGAUGCCAGUAGCCUGGGGUGGGCCAGGAAGAGAGUACAAAGAUGACACCAGCCAGUCUCCCAAGUCUCUGGAGAGGAUUGCAGCUAACCUCUAGAUGUGUGUUAAAUUGGAAGUUCAGCCCUCAGCUGUAGCUUUUAAGAGAUGCAAAUGGGCCUUUUACAGGGAAAUGCUGGGUAUUUCAGUCUGCCAUCUCUGCUGCCUGGGGAGCGCCACAGUAAGUCUCUUGGAGCAACGGGCUGUUGCGGUUUUUGUUUUGGUUUUUUCUAAUUUACAGUAGUACUGUGGGUCUCCUGGGUGCACGGCCUGUUGGCUUUGAGAGUAUUUGGGGGCUUGCUUUUCUCUCAGGUGGAAGACUUAAAAGUUGCAGUGCUAGAUGUGGGGUCCAGUACACUCCUCGUGGAGAAGCUGGUAGUUGUGAGUUCCCUUUUAAUUGCAUGUUGUUUCCUGGGUAGGAUUUAUGGUGAGAUUGUGUCUCAGUCUAUCCUACCCCAUUUGAUGUGUGUUUUUUCCUGGUUAGCUAGAUGUGCAGUGUCUGAAUUUCUCUCACAGAAAUUGUUCCCUCCUUAGCUACAGAUUUAGUGUGCCUGUGAAAGUAGGUGAGUUUAGGAGCCUCCUAUGUUGCCGUCUUGAAUGGGAGCCCUUCCUGUAUUUCUGAUUCUAUCCCUGUAAAUGGUUAAUAGGACAAGAUCUUGAUUAUUGAGAUAAAAGGUUGCAGUGCCUAAUCAGGUAGUUCGAAAAGUCUGUUAAAACUUUCCCUCUGUUUGGGAAAAGCAUCUUAGGAACUUGUUUGGAAAAUUUCAAAAUUCAUGAACCAUUCUAUCUACUGAUCCUGGACUUAAGCUGCAACAGCCCCCAGCUAACCUAGCUCCUUUCAGACUGGCCCCCACAAUCUUGAAUUGGUUCUUUCCAAUCCUGUUACUGUUGGUCCUGAAGUCAGUGGUUUUUGUAAACAGACAAGACUGCUUGGUGUGUCUUGUCUGAGGUCACAUGGAGAUUAUGUCAG